UUGAUUCAUUUGUUUUUUACUCAGAUGUCACAGUGAGCAGUGUUUGAGUUUCCUCUGGCGGGCGCUCCCCAGCGUGGGCCGGGGGUGCCGUGGGGCGACGGCCCGCCAAAGCAACUGGUAAGGUAUACAAAGGGUUGGAGUAGGCGCCCAGAGGGCACCGGUACUCUGUAAUGAUCCUUCCGCAGGUUCACCUACGGAAA
rnacentral:misc_RNA from 1 species